UACGGAGGGGGCUAGCGUUGUUCGGAAUUACUGGGCGUAAAGCGCACGUAGGCGGCUUUGUAAGUUAGAGGUGAAAGCCCAGGGCUUAACUCUGGAAUUGCCUUUAAGACUGCAUCGCUAGAAUCGUGGAGAGGUAAGUGGAAUUCCGAGUGUAGAGGUGAAAUUCGUAGAUAUUGGGAAGAACACCGGUGGCGAAGGCGGCGACCUGGUCCGAUACUGACGCUGAGGCGCGAAAGCGUGGGGAGCAAACAGG
rnacentral:rRNA from 1 species